AUCUGGUCCCCCCGCAACAGUUCGCUGUGAACUCCGCCAGGUCCGGAAGGAAGCAACGGUAGCAGUACAAUUGUGUGCCGGGGUGUGGCUGGGUUGG
rfam:Alteromonadaceae bacterium Bs31 genome assembly, contig: K381DRAFT_scaffold00001.1